UCAUGGUGCAGCUUUCACAUGUGUUUUCACAUAGCUGCUUUUCCAAACAAAUUCUGUGACCUAAGGUAUUUCUAGGCCAAGGUCUGGAUCUUCCACUAUGGGUUUUGCACCUUUAAUUCUCAAAAUUAGUGUUCCUAUCUAGUUUUUUUCCAAUGGGAAUUUGCAUUCUUCUGAACAGCACAGGGGCAUUCUGGGUAAUCCAGGCAUAUUGCAGGCACACCAGAACACGUGAUUGGCUGCUGCAGGAGCGAGAUCAAAAGGCUGACUCAACCCCCUCCCUUCCUUGGGUUUCUUACGCAAUGGACCCUGAACCUAACCCUCAGGGGUCAGUGGGGGUUGGUAAGAAUUCAAAGCACAUUGGUGGAGAGACCCUGUGUGAGAGAGAAACUAAAGAGAGAGAGAACCGGUGUGGACUGGUUUGGCCUACGUCACUCCUUUAAACCGGAAGAGCUAAGGCAGGGAGUCUCUCGCUGUAGACAACACCUCCUUGUCACCCAGUUCCUGCUAAGGACACAAGACAGACGGCCGGGGGCCCCCGUCUGGCUCUGCUCUUUCCCACGCCCCUAUAAAUAACUCACGCACACACAGCUCAGUUCCCUCACUUCUUAUAUGUCUCCUGAAGAGAAAGCCUCUCACAAACACACUCAGACAAGUCCAGACAUAUCCCGUUCUGUGCCCAUAGCCUGAAGAAGACCCAAGCGGGUCGAAACGUCGCGACUGGGCACUCUUUUCACACCUUUAUCUUGAAUUCUUCAUUUUGAUACACAUUUUAUUUAGUUUUCUCACUUUUAUUUCAUUUUAUUUAAUUUUUAUUUCACAAAAAAAGCAUAAAAAAAUAAAGAACAAUUCAUUUGUUUUGUUAUUUUUAUAUACAGUUUUUGUUUUACACACCUUGAUCUGAAUAAAUAGAUACAUAGAUAGGCCAAUAAAUAAAUAAAUAGUUUCAUAGAUACACCACAUUAAUAAAUAACAAUAAAUAAGCAAAAAGGUUAAAACAACAAUCAUGACUUACGACCAGGAACAAUGGACUGAAGUGCGAUACGGGAGAAGGCGUGGUCAACGCCCGUACCGCACUAAUCAGCAGUACCAAACGGGGUCGUGGGGGACGGGGAACAGGGGGAUGGACCGUGCACCUCCUGUCUCCUAUUCUAGGAGACAGUCCCCCUUUUCCCGUAAUCCUAACCCCUAACCCUAACCCCUAACCCUAACCCUAACUCUAGCUCCAACCCUAACCCUAGCCGACCCCUAACCCUAACCCUAACCCUAAUUAGGGUUAAAAAAAGAAGGAACGCUUCACGAAUUUGCGUGUCAUCCUUGCGCAGGGGCCAUGCUAAUCUUCUCUGUAUCGUUCCAAUUUUAGUAAAUGUGUUAGAGAACUAACACGAAAGUGCCCAGAAGAUCACAUUUCUUAUAUACCCAGCAAUACAAAGACUCUCUUCAAUCAUGGUGCAGCUUUCACAUGUGUUUUCACAUAGCUGCUUUUCCAAACAAAUUCUGUGACCUAAGGUAUUUCUAGGCCAAGGUCUGGAUCUUCCACUAUGGGUUUUGCACCUUAAAUUCUCAAAAUUAGUGUUCCUAUCUAGUUUUUUUCCAAUGGGAAUUUGCAUUCUUCUGAACAGCACAGGGGCAUUCUGGGUAAUCCAGGCAUAUUGCAGGCACACCAGAACACGUGAUUGGCUGCUGCAGGAGCGAGAUCAAAAGGCUGACUCAACCCCCUCCCUUCCUUGGGUUUCUUACGCAAUGGACCCUGAACCUAACCCUCAGGGGUCAGUGGGGGUUGGUAAGAAUUCAAAGCACAUUGGUGGAGAGACCCUGUGUGAGAGAGAAACUAAAGAGAGAGAGAACCGGUGUGGACUGGUUUGGCCUACGUCACUCCUUUAAACCGGAAGAGCUAAGGCAGGGAGUCUCUCGCUGUAGACAACACCUCCUUGUCACCCAGUUCCUGCUACGGACACAAGACAGUAGCACACAUCAAGGACCAGGGGCACAUCUUUGAACCUCAACCAGAGGCUGGAUUUACCUCAAAACCUGUUAAAAACCCGGAUCUGGGAGCAGGGCUGAAUGUAUAGUACACUGAUUCUGAAUCGUUCCAAUUUCUUAUUUGUGGGGCCAUGCUGAUCAUCUCUGUAUCAUUCCAAUUUUAGUAUUUGUGUAAUCUUCUCUGUAUCGUUCCAAUUUUAGUAUUUGUGUAAUCUUCUCUGUAUCGUUCCAAUUUUAGUAUUUGUGUAAUCUUCUCUGAAUCGUUCCAAUUUUAGUAUUCUCCAUGAACAAAACAUGUUGAAAACAUUCAACAUAGAUUGGAUGACUCACACAAAUACUAAAAUUGGAGAAGCGUAGAUACGACAGGCCAGACGACUAACACAAAUACUAAAAUUGGAACGAUUCAGAGAAGAUUACACAAAUACUAAAAUUGGAACGAUUCAGAGAAGAUUACACAAAUACUAAAAUUGGGUUAGGGUUAGGGUUAGGGUUAGGAUGAUAUAGGGGUAUGUGCCACUUUUGACAUGCCGGUUCAUUGCCUUUCCCAAUGAUGAACCGGGCUGAGAUUUGGUCUACCCCCCUAUUUUCGGGUAUGCUGAAUCUAGAAAUACUAAUGAACCAGCGAUCGGACAUUCCUAUCAAAAGUUAUGGCGAAAUGAAAAUUUCCCAUUGAAAAUGAAUGGGAGCGGAAAAUGGAAAAAGUCAGUGUUUGCAAGUGUUCUACUUUGUCUGGAAAUGUUGAAAAUGCAUUGUGAGCACGUUUCAGGCCAUUUCCUGUCAUUUGAGGGCGACUUUGCAAAAAGGGGUGUCAUACCGCUUUUGACCAGAGGUGGCGCUGCACCAGUUUGAGGGUAAGGGUUAGGUUGAGGCUUACAGGAUAAAUAUUUCUAAUUGGACAUUACAAUUAUAAUUCAUUAAAAUUAAUCAGCUAAAAGAGGGUAAAAAAUUCAAAUUGGCCAUUAACAUUCAUGUCAUUAAAUUUCAGUUGGCAUUUAUGGGGUUAACUGCACCCAGACGGCCGGGGGCCCCCGUCUGGCUCUGCUCUCUCCCACGCCCCUAUAAAUAACUCACGCACACACAGCUCAGUUCCCUCACUUCUUAUAUGUCUCCUGAAGAGAAAGCCUCUCACAAACACACCCAGACAAGUCCAGACAUAUCCCGUUCUGUGCCCAUAGCCUGAAGAAGACCCAAGCGGGUCGAAACGUCACGACUGGGCACUCUUUUCACACCUUUAUCUUGAAUUCUUCAUUUUGAUACACAUUUUAUU